CACGGAGGGUGCAAGCGUUGUUCGGAAUUAUUGGGCGUAAAGCGCACGUAGGCGGCUGUUUAAGUCUCACUGUGAAAGCCUGCGGCUCAACCGCAGGAGGCCAGGGGAUACUGGACAGCUGGAGACAGGUAGAGGCGAGCGGAAUUCCGGGUGUAGCGGUGGAAUGCGUAGAGAUCCGGAAGAACACCAGAGGCGAAGGCGGCUCGCUGGACCUGUUCUGACGCUGAGGUGCGAAAGCGUGGGGAG
rnacentral:rRNA from 1 species